GGGCGCUUAGCUCAAAUGGUAGAGCGCCCGCUUCGCAUGCGAGAGGUUGGGGAAUCGAUACCCCCAGUGUCCA
rnacentral:tRNA from 1 species